rnacentral:rRNA from 1 species
AAGAAAAUAACUAUGAUUCCCUUAGUAGUGGCGAAUGAACAGGGAUCAGUUCAAGCCUUUAAUCCUUCACUUUAGUGAUAGGAGUUGUGGUCUUCUGCCAAAAUCCGUGUCGUCAUCUCGGCUAGAUCUUGUUGAAAUAUAGCGUCAUAGAGGGUUAUAACCCCGUCCGCUGAGAUAGUGUGCACAAGCGAUUAGGCAAGGUAGAGUCGUGCUACUUGGGACUGUAGCACUAAUUGGGAGGUAAUAUCCUUCUAAAACUAAAUAUUACUCUGAGACCGAUAGCGAACAAGUACCGUGAGGGAAAGAUGAAAAGGAAUUUGAAAAGAAUGUGAAAAGUACGUGAAAUCGUUAGGUGAAAGCGAAUAGCAUACCUUUGACGUGUACUUUACGUUUGCAACGUUGUUGAGUUCAUACUUGUAUGUCUCUUCUUCACGCUUUCGUUUGGUAGAGGUUUGAUUGCUGUUUCUCGUCCGUAGUUGUGUGCCGUUUUCCUUGAUUGUUCGCAAAAUGUGGCAGUCUUGGCUUAUUGCUCCGACUGCGUCCGUUUCAGCGUCUAGACGUCAUCAUCGGUGUUGUUAUCCGACCCGUCUUGAAACACGGACCAAGGAGUCUAACGUAUGUGCGAGUCUUUGAGUUGUAAACUCUUCGGCAUAGAGAAAUCGAAUUGUUAUUAACACUUUUGUGUUCCAUAACGGCUGUUUUGAUUCUACGGAUGACGACCGCUCGCUUGAGCAUGUAUGUUGGGACCCGAA